GGCUGGUUAGCUCAGUUGGUUAGAGUGUGCUGCUAAAAACAUUUAGACUGUGGGUUCAAUCCCCAUAUAGGCCA
rnacentral:tRNA from 1 species